UGUUGGAGACAUGGGCUCAAGUCUCAGC
rnacentral:piRNA from 1 species